GGAAGGUUUUUAGUUUAAUACACUAAAGAAUUGACGUUACUCGCAGAAUAAGCACCGGCUAACUCUGUGCCAGCAGCCGCGGUAAUACAGAGGGUGCAAGCGUUAAUCGGAAUUACUGGGCGUAAAGCGCGCGUAGGCGGUUUGUUAAGUCGGAUGUGAAAUCCCUGGGCUCAACCUAGGCACUGCAUCCGAUACUGGCUAACUAGAGUGUGGGAGAGGAAGGUAGAAUUCCAGGUGUAGCGGUGAAAUGCGUAGAGAUCUGGAGGAAUACCGAUGGCGAAGGCAGCCUUCUGGCCUAACACUGACGCUGAGGUGCGAAAGCAUGGGGAGCAAAACAGGAUUAGAUACCCUGGCAGUCCAUGCUGAAAACGAUGAACACUAGACGCCGGGGGGGUGACUUUUCGGUGUCGUAGCUCACGCGCUAAGUGUUCCGCCUGGGGAGUACGGCCGCAAGGUUGAAACUCAAAGGAAUUGACGGGG
rnacentral:rRNA from 1 species